ACGAUGAACUGGAGCUUGCUCCAGGGAUUAGUGGCGAACGGGUGAGUAACACGUGAGUAACCUGCCCUUGACUCUGGGAUAAGCGCUAGAAAUGGCGUCUAAUACCGGAUACGAGCUUCAGCCGCAUGGCUAGGAGUUGGAAAGAAUUUUGGUCAAGGAUGGACUCGCGGCCUAUCAGCUAGUUGGUGAGGUAAUGGCUCACCAAGGCGACGACGGGUAGCCGGCCUGAGAGGGUGACCGGCCACACUGGGACUGAGACACGGCCCAGACUCCUACGGGAGGCAGCAGUGGGGAAUUAUUGCACAAUGGGGCGAAAGCCCUGAUGCAGCACCGCCCGCGUGAGGGGAUGACGGCCUUCGGGUUGUAACCUUCUUUUUAGUAGGAAGAAGCGAAAGUGACGGUACCUGCAGAAAAAAGCACCGGCUAAACUACGUGCCCAGCAGCCCGCGGGUAAUACGUAGGGUGCAAAGCGUUGUCCGGAAAUUAUUGGGCGUAAAGAGCUCGUAGGCGGUUUGUCGCGUCUGCUGUGAAAUCUGGGGGCUCAACCCCCAGCCUGCAGUGGGUACGGGCAGACUAGAGUGCGGUAGGGGAGAUUGGAAUUCCUGGUGUAGCGGUGGAAUGCGCAGAUAUCAGGAGGAACACCGAUGGCGAAGGCAGAUCUCUGGGCCGUAACUGACGCUGAGGAGCGAAAGCAUGGGGAGCGAACAGGAUUAGAUACCCUGGUAGUCCAUGCCGUAAACGUUGGGAACUAGAUGUGGGGGCCAUUCCACGGUCUCCGUGUCGCAGCUAACGCAUUAAGUUCCCCGCCUGGGGAGUACGGCCGCAAGGCUAAAACUCAAAGGAAUUGACGGGGGCCCGCACAAGCGGCGGAGCAUGCGGAUUAAUUCGAUGCAACGCGAAGAACCUUACCAAGGCUUGACAUAUACCGGAAACGUCCAGAGAUGGUCGCCCCGCAAGGUCGGUAUACAGGUGGUGCAUGGUUGUCGUCAGCUCGUGUCGUGAGAUGUUGGGUUAAGUCCCGCAACGAGCGCAACCCUCGUUCUAUGUUUGCCCAGCACGUUUAUGGUGGGAACUCAUAGGAGACUGCCGGGGUCAACUCGGAGGAAGGUGGGGAUGACGUCAAAUCAUCAUGCCCCUUAUGUCUUGGGCUUCACGCAUGCUACAAUGGCCGGUACAAAGGGCUGCGAUACCGUAAGGUGGAGCGAAUCCCAAAAAGCCGGUCUCAGUUCGGAUUGAGGUCUGCAACUCGACCUCAUGAAGUCGGAGUCGCUAGUAAUCGCAGAUCAGCAACGCUGCGGUGAAUACGUUCCCGGGCCUUGUACACACCGCCCGUCAAGUCAUGAAAGUCGGUAACACCCGAAGCCAGUGGCCUAACCCUUGUGGAUGGAGC
rnacentral:rRNA from 1 species